rnacentral:lncRNA from 1 species
GUGCUACCGGGCUCUGAGCAGUCAGUGGGGAGGCAAACAGAUGCCAUAGCAUGCUACAUGGAGAUCAGAAGACAACCAGCAUUAUUUAGUUUUCUCACCACACCAUGUGGAUCGUGGGACUCAAUUAAGGUUAUCAGGUUUGGCUGAAAGAACGUUUACCCAAUGAGUGAUGUCUCCAGCACCACCUCCUUAUAUUUCAGGACCAUGUGAUUCCCAUCAUGCACCAUGAAAAAAUGCAAGUGUAUCAGUUAGGAGUUGCUUAUGAGGUAAGGCUGCUCUGAGAGAUCCUGGGCUGAGAGCUGAAGCAGCAGGGUUCAUAAAAACCAGAGCCAAUGUGAGUCUGCCAGCUUGGGGCUCGGGAUCCAUCUAAAGACUACAGGGUCAAGAAAAGCCACAGAUAGAGGGAAGAGCCAUAGGACACACUGGGACCA